AAAUAUAGUUCCAGACAUUCUGGCUGUCCGGACAGACAUCUGUCAUUGAAACAGUAAAAUAUACGGACUGUCUAAAGUGAAGGCGUUACAGCUCAAAUCUCACCAUCUUUUUGCUUUUCUUUGCUUUCAAUUUAAUCUUAUAGAACCCUAAACCUUCAGAAGGAUCAGAUGUCUUGAAAAAAUUGAUUGAUGUGAGAACAAAUUGAUCAAAAUAGGAAGUUUCCCGGUUUAAGGAAUUAUCUACAUAAUCUAAGUCUGUAAAGGGCAAGAAUGUCAAAGCUUGGCAAAAUGAAUGGUCUUGUUAUGUUUCUUUGGGGGGAAUAAAAGUUAUAAAAAAAGGGAAAAUUAUAUCUAAAAGAUAUUAUUUUCAAAGAACAAGAAUUUUCUUUUAGAUGCAAAGAAAAGCACCAAUGGUUACUUGCAAUUGUG
rnacentral:misc_RNA from 1 species